GAUGAACGCUGGCGGCGUGCCUAAUACAUGCAAGUCGAGCGAACAGACGAGUAGCUUGCUCCUCUGACGUUAGCGGCGGACGGGUGAGUAACACGGGGGUAACCUACCUCUAUGACUGGGAUAACUUCGGGAAACCGGAGCUAAUACGGGAGAAUAAAUUUAACGGCAGGGUUCAGGAGUGAAAGACGGUUUUGCUGGCACUUAUAGAUGGUUCCGCGCCGCAUUAGCUAGUUGGUAAGGUAACGGCUUACCAAGGCAACGAGGCGUAGCCGAGCUGAGAGGGUGAUCGGCCACACUGGAACUGAGACACGGUCCAGACUCCUACGGGAGGCAGCAGUAGGGAAUCUUGCACAAUGGGCGAAAGCCUGACGGAGCAACGCCGCGUGAGUGAUGAAGGUCUUCGGAUCGUAAACCUCUGUUGUUAGGGAAGAACAAAUGUGUAAGUAACUAUCCACGUCUUGACGGUACCUAAUCAGAAAGCAACGGCUAACUACGUG
rnacentral:rRNA from 1 species